GCACUGAAACCUGGUGAAUCAUUUCGGCCAUCACCGCAAAGAAUGAUGCUUUCCCCAAAAAAGAUUUUCCAUAUCGAUGCCUUCAUGUCUUUCCAAAAUCUCUUGAUCUCAGGAAUCACAUACUUCUUUUGGAUUCUCAUAAAAGUUGACCUUGAGAUGAAUGACAGACCAAGAAAUUUGCAAAAUAGUGCAAACUUUUCAUAAUUGCCACCUGUUAUAAUAAUUGCUGCAGCUAUCAUUAUGG